AAUAAAGGGAACGGUGAGAAACUCGCAUCUCUCAGGGGUGACCCACACCCCGGGCAGAUCCGAAGCGGGUGUUGGGGUCCCGGGUGGGUUUCCAGCGCUUGUUCCAAACUGCGGCUGAAGCUUUUUGCAGCCGAACGCAAAUUUCCAGGCUUAAAUUGCCUCCUUCCUGUCCCGGGAUGCCAGGGCUUUGCUCAGCUGAAAUUGCACAGCUUUUUCCCCCCCGGAUCCUCUUACUUCUUCUCCCGCUCCCAGCCCCGCUGCCCCGGGCACCCCCUCGGCUGCUUUUUCUCAGCCGCCGCAGCCCCUUCCCGGCGGCGCUUUGAGCCCCGCACUCCCCUCGCCGUCGUUGCGGGAUUUCACCGCAAAUCCCGGUUCGUGCACUCCUCGCUCGCCCCCGGCAGAGCCCGAGGUACGAUUCAUCCUUCCUCCCCCCGUUACCGUUCGUUGGACGGUGACUCCGUGCCCCCGCAAGCUCGGUGCCCCGGGCCUGGCUGCGGGGGGACGGUGCGGGAAGCGUUCCGUGGGGCGGAGAGACGAGGGGAGAUUUCCACGGGAGACGGAGCUGCCGGUGGACUUCCCCAGGAGCCAGACCCCAGUGCGGGGCUGCGCCGAGCGCACCGGGCUCUGGGACAUCCCGUCCUGGGAGACGCCGGGUCCGUUCCCUCCGCCUCCCGGGCCCCGGCUGCGGGGGCGAGGAGUGCGGGUGGCCCCGCACGGGCACCGGGAGAAGCGGGAGGGGGUUCCUACCGCGGGGACCCCUGCCGGGACACCGGGAAGAGGCCCGAGUUGCCCCGGACGGUUGCCCUGCAGCUCCUACCAGACCCCGCCGUCGGGUCGGUCCCCGCCGUCCGGCCGUUCCUCCGUGCGGUUCGGCUCCGGGCGCCAUUUGUGCCCCGAUCCCGGAGCCCCGCCGCUCCCCGCAACGCCCGCACCUCCCGACCCCGGUGCGGGGGGUGUCCGCAGGUGGGUGCCGGCUCCCCCGCCGCGCCAGGCCCCUCACCAGCAGAUGGUGCUGCCGGCGGCCCGUCACCGGGGCUGCGGGGCCCCGACGGACCGCACCGGGCCGGGCAGCGGCACCGGGGCCCUGCCUGCCGCCUGGCCUGGGCCAAGGGGAAACCGGGGCUGCCGGGGGGGUGGCGGAGGGCCCAGGUAGGGAGCGUUACGUGUUCUGGAGCUCGCCGGCUGCUGGUGUGCGGGCUGCUGGUGUGGGGGCCCGGGGCUUGCCCGGGAACAGGCUGCUGUCGGGGCCAGGGGGGAAGCGGCCGCUUCAGGUGGACUCUCCUU
rnacentral:lncRNA from 1 species